rnacentral:rRNA from 1 species
AUUGAACGCUGGCGGCAGGCCUAACACAUGCAAGUCGAGCGGAUGAAGGGAGCUUGCUCCUGGAUUCAGCGGCGGACGGGUGAGUAAUGCCUAGGAAUCUGUCUGGUAGUGGGGGAUAACGUCCGGAAACGGGCGCUAAUACCGCAUACGUCCUGAGGGAGAAAGUGGGGGAUCUUCGGACCUCACGCUAUCAGAUGAGCCUAGGUCGGAUUAGCUAGUUGGUGGGGUAAAGGCCUACCAAGGCGACGAUCCGUAACUGGUCUGAGAGGAUGAUCAGUCACACUGGAACUGAGACACGGUCCAGACUCCUACGGGAGGCCGCAGUGGGGAAUAUUGGACCAUGGGCGAAAGCCUGAUCCAGCCAUGCCGCGUGUGUGAAGAAGGUCUUCGGAUUGUAAAGCACUUUAAGUUGGGAGGAAGGGCAGUAAGUUAAUACCUUGCUGUUUUGACGUUACCAACAGAAUAAGCACCGGCUAACUUCGUG